CGGGGUAUAGCGCAGUUUGGUAGCGCGCGUGGUUUGGGACCAUGAGGCCGGGGGUUCGAGUCCCUCUACCCCGAUCA
rnacentral:tRNA from 1 species